GGUCUCAGUUCGGACUGUAGGCUGCAACUCGCCUACACGAAGUUGGAAUUGCUAGUAAUCGUGGAUCAGCAUGCCACGGUGAAUACGUUCCCGGGUCUUGUACACACCGCCCGUCACACCAUGGGAGCUGGUAACACCCGAAGUCAGUAGUCUAACCGCAAGGAGGACGCUGCCGAAGGUGGGAUUAGCGACUGGGGUGAAGUCGUAACAAGGUAAC
rnacentral:rRNA from 1 species